GAAGAACAUGUCGUUCUUGAGGGUCUUCAUCUCGGUUGCGUCGUCUUGAAGGUUGUGACAAUCGCAAUGUCUCAUCCGGUAAGUCAGCAAACGAAGGUUCUUGAGUUGAAUCCGCUGGUUGUUGGCUCUCCAUCUAAUUAGCAUCACAAAUGUAAAGAAGUUACAAACAAGGAUAGGAAAUUGAAUGUUUUCUUGCCUCAAUCUUGUCUCUUUUAUAAGAGAGAUUUUUAUCUUGAUUUUGAUGGAUGUCGUUGAUGAAAAACUUUGACUUUAGCUGAUGCAUUUGCUAGAUUCUUAAAUGGCUCCCAGGUGCGUUCACUAAUAUCAUAUCCCCGCCAAUGAACAAGAUAUUCCAGCUUAUUUCGGCGCCGCCUCGAGUCUAAUAUCUCUUCCACCUCAAAUUCUUCAUUAUUAUCUACUUGUCAAGGACAAGAACUCGAUGAAAAAUAAUUCAGACAAGCGAGCCUUCACUCAAAGAGAGGUAACAAAAUAUAUAUAAACAAGUAUAUAUAUUGAUAUAGAAACUGGAAUGGCUAUUGCCAAAAGACAAGAAAACUAGAAACCCUUGAAACUAGACUAGAAGCAAGAAAGAAAUUGACAAGAGUGAAGAAGCCUUCACUCUUGUCUCUAUAUAUACUAUCUAAUUAGGAGCUACGUGGCGACGUUCUGUAGGACCUUCAAUAUGUGUUGACUUUGUAGGACACAUGCCUUGACUUACAAGGCAAGUUUUUCUACGUGUGGGCCACAUAGUUAGCUUAAUCUUCAAGCUAACAACAUGUGUGGCACAUGGCCAACUUGUUGACCACGUUUCUAAUCCAAAAAGUCAAUUAAAGACAC
rnacentral:lncRNA from 1 species